GGGGAUCUUUGCACACCUGAGGUCUUCUUGAAGAUCUGCUCACCUGUUCCAUUUGUAAUGGAAAGCAAGUAAGCACCAUUUGGGUUCCACGCUGAUCUAGGUUUCUUUGCUGGAGCCAUUUCAGGCACCUGAAGAUAUCUCUGUGUAGUGCAGAGCAUCAGGAUGAGCUAGCAAUCUACCCUGGCUUCUGUGUGUCAGCUCCUGUGGUUAUAGUGUGCACUCUGGAUCCAGCCUACCAUCUUUUAACCAGUAUUUAGCCACUGUAUUAUACAUGUUUCCAUCCAAAUCUGGCAGUUAUGUAUCAGAUGUGUUUCAAAAUAAGUAUAUCCACUUGGUUUUCUAUAAACUAUUUAAUUAUCUAUGAACACUUGCACAAGAAAAUGCAGUUUUAUAACACUAACAAAUUAGCGUAGGGCUUGGGAAUGUAUCUUGGGUAUUUACCAUAACUAUGACAUCAUUAACAAUGUUUAUAUCUAAAUAUGCAAUGACCACUGAGAAGUUUAAUUAUCAUGUUCACUUCAGUAGUGUAAAACAUUUUAGUAACAAACUUUUUAUAGAUCACACAAUUGCUUUAAUUGCAUUUCAAACUGGUAAUUUCCAAAUUUCUUCUCUUCCAAAAUACGUGGGAGUUCGUAUGUAAGUGACGUUGGUGGAAUUUUACUAUAAGAAAAUAAUAAAAGCUGGCUGGAUGUUAUCUGCGGUAGGGGAACACAUCAGUGCCUGCAGUAUAGUUGUGAAAGUAGUGGUCAUGGCAGAUGAAUGCAGGUAGAAUACGUAAUGCUCUUCCUUUCUCAUUUCCUUCGUUCCACACCCAAAACUUCAGUUUACCAAGUUAUAUACCUCAAAUGCCCAUUCCUAGACAUCAGAUCUUGAACAGUUAUUUAUGUGGUAGUUGUAUCAAAAUAAGUGUUUUCUUCUGUAACCUUUGCUGUUGCUUUUCCCUGUGUAUGUGUUAGGCUGUCAAAUUGAAAUGACAGCUGUUUUCAGGUAGGCCUAGAGAAAUGACAAAAUGACAGAGGAUGAUGCAGGGACAUCAUACCCUGGCAUAUAUUCAAUUCAAAUUAAAACGUCUCCCUACAAAUUUCUCCUAUAAGUUGACAGUUAGUCAUUGAGAGUUAAAAUUGUAUGGAUGUGCAGAACAAGAGAAUAUUUCUCAGCAGCUAGAAGUAAAGUAAAAACUGAACUAACAGAAAAACUUGGUGUCCCUGUUGUACUUCUUAAAAUAAGAUAGUUCUUUUAAACAAUCUUUUGCAUCCUGUUAACUUAGCCUUGUAAAACAAAUAGCCCUAAGCUUCCACUAGAAC